rnacentral:rRNA from 1 species
GACGAACGCUGGCGGCGUGCCUAAUACAUGCAAGUCGAGCGGACCUCUUCGGAGGUCAGCGGCGGACGGGUGAGUAACACGUGGGCAACCUGCCUGUAAGACUGGGAUAACUCCGGGAAACCGGAGCUAAUACCGGAUAUUAUGGCAGACCGCAUGGUUUGACAUUCAAAGACGGUUUCGGCUGUCAUUUACAGAUGGGCCCGCGGCGAAUUAGCUAGUUGGUGAGGUAAUGGCCCACCAAGGCAACGAUGCGUAGCCGACCUGAGAGGGUGAUCGGCCACACUGGGACUGAGACACGGCCCAGACUCCUACGGGAGGCAGCAGUAGGGAAUCUUCCGCAAUGGACGAAAGUCUGACGGAGCAACGCCGCGUGAGUGAUGAAGGUUUUCGGAUCGUAAAACUCUGUUGUCAGGGAAGAACAAGUGCCGGAGUAACUGCCGGCGCCUUGACGGUACCUGACCAGAAAGCCACGGCUAACUACGUGCCAGCCGCCGCCGUAAAAC